GCCUGGCUGGCUCACUUGGUAGAACAUGUGAUUCUUGAUCUCAGGGUCAUGAGUUCAAGCCCCAUGUUGGGUG
rnacentral:tRNA from 1 species